UCCCCUCAGGUGUGCUCAGGUGUGUCCCAGGUAACCCCAGGUGUGCCCAGGUGAGACCUGAAUCCCCUCAGGUGAGCUCCAGGUGUGCUCAGGUGUCCCCCAGGUGUGCUCAGGUGUGUCCAGGUGUGCUCAGG